rnacentral:rRNA from 1 species
UAGGGAAUCUUCGGCAAUGGACGAAAGUCUGACCGAGCAACGCCGCGUGAGUGAAGAAGGUUUUCGGAUCGUAAAACUCUGUUGGUAGAGAAGAACGUUGGUGAGAGUGGAAAGCUCAUCAAGUGACGGUAACUACCCAGAAAGGGACGGCUAACUACGUACACGA